rnacentral:lncRNA from 1 species
CUUUCUGAUGCUGGAGCCUGCUAGACCAGGGGUCCCCAAUCCCAAGCCUGGUCCGAGACCUGUUAGGAACAGGGCAUCGCAGCAGGAGGGACACCACAUCAUUUGAAGCAUUCUUUCAAUCCAAGGCAUCGAAUUCUUGGACAGGAAAGGGCCAGGCCUGCCGACACCUGCUUCACCUGGCCAUUCAGCGGCACCCCCACUUCCGUGGCCUGUUCAAUCUCUCCAUUCCAGUGCUGCUGUGGGGGGACCUCUUCACCCCAGCGCUCUGGGACCGCCUGAGCCAACACAAAGCCCCGUAUGGCUGGCGGGGGCUCUCUCACCAAGGGACACCCCUCCAAAGUGUAUCCGGUGUGCCGUGGUGGGCAACGGAGGCAUUCUGAAUGGGUCCCGCCAGGGUCCCAACAUCGAUGCCCAUGACUAUGUAUUCAGACUCAAUGGAGCUGUGAUCAAAGGCUUCGAGCGCGAUGUGGGCACCAAGACUUCCUUCUAUGGUUUCACUGUGAACACGAUGAAGAACUCCCUCGUCUCCUACUGGAAUCUGGGCUUCACCUCCGUGCCACAAGGACAGAAAAAUCCUGUGCA